rnacentral:rRNA from 1 species
CGCGGCCUAUCAGCUUGUUGGUGAGGUAAUGGCUCACCAAGGCGACGACGGGUAGCCGGCCUGAGAGGGCGACCGGCCACACUGGGACUGAGACACGGCCCAGACUCCUACGGGAGGCAGCAGUGGGGAAUAUUGCACAAUGGGCGAAAGCCUGAUGCAGCGACGCCGCGUGAGGGAUGACGGCCUUCGGGUUGUAAACCUCUUUCAGCAGGGAAGAAGCGAAAGUGACGGUACCUGCAGAAGAAGCGCCGGCUAACUACGUGCCAGCAGCCGCGGUAAUACGUAGGGCGCAAGCGUUGUCCGGAAUUAUUGGGCGUAAAGAGCUCGUAGGCGGCUUGUCACGUCGGGUGCGAAAGCCCGGGGCUUAACCCCGGGUCUGCAUUCGAUACGGGCUAGCUAGAGUGUGGUAGGGGAGAUCGGAAUUCCUGGUGUAGCGGUGAAAUGCGCAGAUAUCAGGAGGAACACCGGUGGCGAAGGCGGAUCUCUGGGCCAUUACUGACGCUGAGGAGCGAAAGCGUGGGGAGCGAACAGGAUUAGAUACCCUGGUAGUCCACGCCGUAAACGGUGGGAACUAGGUGUUGGCGACAUUCCACGUCGUCGGUGCCGCAGCUAACGCAUUAAGUUCCCCGCC